rnacentral:rRNA from 1 species
GAAGCUUGCUUCCUAUGAAAUCGAGUGGCAAACGGGUGAGUAACGCGUAAACAACCUGCCCUUCGGAUGGGGAUAACAGCCGGAAACGGCUGCUAAUACCGAAUACGAUCUUUUCGUCGCAUGACGGAAAGAAGAAAGGAUGGCCUCUAUACAAAGCUAUCGCCGAAGGAGGGGUUUGCGUCUGAUUAGCUGGUUGGAGGGGUAACGGCCCAACAAGGCGAUGAUCAGUAGCCGGUCUGAGAGGAUGAACGGCCACAUUGGGACUGAGACACGGCCCAGACUCCUACGGGAGGCAGCAGUGGGGAAUCUUCCGCAAUGGACGAAAGUCUGACGGAGCAACGCCGCGUGAGUGAAGAAAGUCUUCGGAUUGUAAAGCUCUGUUAUACGGGACGAAAAAGACGGAUGCCAACAGUAUCCGUCCGUGACGGUACCGUAAGAGAAAGCCACGGCUAACUACGUGCCAGCAGCCGCGGUAAUACGUAGGUGGCAAGCGUUGUCCGGAAUUAUUGGGCGUAAAGGGCGCGCAGGCGGUUCGGUAAGUCUGUCUUAAAAGUGCGGGGCUUAACCCCGUGAGGGGACGGAAACUGUCGAACUUGAGUGUCGGAGAGGAAAGCGGAAUUCCUAGUGUAGCGGUGAAAUGCGUAGAUAUUAGGAGGAACACCGGUGGCGAAAGCGGCUUUCUGGAC